rnacentral:rRNA from 1 species
UACGGGGGGGGCAAGCGUUGUUCGGAAUUACUGGGCGUAAAGGGCUCGUAGGCGGCCAACUAAGUCCGACGUGAAAUCCCCAGGCUUAACCUGGGAACUGCGUCGGAUACUGGUUGGCUUGAAUCCGGGAGAGGGAUGCGGAAUUCCAGGUGUAGCGGUGAAAUGCGUAGAUAUCUGGAGGAAUACCGGUGGCGAAGGCGGCAUCCUGGACCGACAUUGACGCUGAGGAGCGAAAGCUAGGGGAGCAAACGGG